GAUGAACGCUAGCUACAGGCUUAACACAUGCAAGUCGAGGGGAAACGACAUCGAAAGCUUGCUUUUGAUGAGCGUCGACCGGCGCACGGGUGAGUAACGCGUAUCCAACCUGCCCAUCACUUGGGAAUAACCUUGCGAAAGUAAGACUAAUACCCAAUGAUAUCCCACGAAGGCAUCGGAAUGGGAUUAAAGAUUUAUCGGUGAUGGAUGGGGAUGCGUCUGAUUAGCUUGUUGGCGGGGUAACGGCCCACCAAGGCAACGAUCAGUAGGGGUUCUGAGAGGUAGGUCCCCCACAUUGGAACUGAGACACGGUCCAAACUCCUACGGGAGGCAGCAGUGAGGAAUAUUGGUCAAUGGGCGAGAGCCUGAACCAGCCAAGUAGCGUGCAGGAUGACGGCCCUAUGGGUUGUAAACUGCUUUUAUAAGGGAAUAAAGUGGGUCUCGUGAGACUUUUUGCAUGUACCUUAUGAAUAAGGACCGGCUAAUUCCGUG
rnacentral:rRNA from 1 species